rnacentral:rRNA from 1 species
AUUGAACGCUGGCGGCAUGCUUUACACAUGCAAGUCGAACGGCAGCGCGGGCUUCGGCCUGGCGGCGAGUGGCGAACGGGUGAGUAAUACAUCGGAACGUGCCCAGUAGUGGGGGAUAGCUCGGCGAAAGCCGGAUUAAUACCGCAUACGACCUGCGGGUGAAAGCGGGGGAUCUUCGGACCUCGCGCUAUUGGAGCCGCCGAUGGCAGAUUAGCUAGUUGGUGGGGUAAAGGCCUACCAAGGCGACGAUCUGUAGCUGGUCUGAGAGGACGACCAGCCACACUGGGACUGAGACACGGCCCAGACUCCUACGGGAGGCAGCAGUGGGGAAUUUUGGACAAUGGGCGAAAGCCUGAUCCAGCAAUGCCGCGUGUGUGAUGAAGGCCUUCGGGUUGUAAAGCACUUUUGGCGGGAACGAAAAGGACUGUGCCAAUACCACGGUUCGAUGACGGUACCCGCAGAAUAAGCACCGGCUAACUACGUG